rnacentral:lncRNA from 13 species
CUCUGCACAUCCUGCGUCUCAUUUGACUUCAGAAACUCCUGGGAGCCACAGACUAGGAGGAAGUCCCCAAGCAUGGAUCCCACCUGAGACCAUAUCCCGCCACGGAUGGAACCCUGCAGCUGCCUCGCAUAAGACAAAGAACCCGACGAGAAGUGAGCAGAGGACUCCAGCAGACACUGCACAGAGGUCUAAGCCUGGUGCACGCACACACAGGGAAACACACGGCCUCCUUGGGGACCAGCAGUGCACCUGAAGCCACGUGGGCUCCCCAGACGCCUGCCAGCACGGCCGAAGUGCAGGGCCUGGCCACACCCAGUGUGUGUGGGAAGCAGCCUGAACGUUCUCUUGGAAAACAGAAGGACCCCUUUGGAAAGUGGGCGGUGGCUUCUUACCAAGUUGAACACCGUUCCCAUGGGACCAGGAAACUCCACACCGAGGCACUUACCCGGGAGGAAUGCACGCAGGUCCACUGCAGGGCAUGGCCUGAGGUGAGACUGCGCAGUCUUCUGGAAGCAGGCCUGAGUUUUAGAGUACCUGCUCCCUCCUGACACUGGUGAGAGGAGAGCAACACUCUCCCUCUCCGGCCUCUGGACUAGACCCUGGAUCUCUCGACAGCACAGGCCUGUCAGACGCCUGCCAAUCCUGACCUUGGAUAGGAAAAGGCCCCUGAGACCACAGUGGUCCCACAGGUGGAGAGACCCACGCCCAGUGGUGGGAAGGGGCUUGUCAAGGCUGCCAGGCAGAUAGCAGCAGCCCAGAGCCACUGUGGUGCUGGCCUGGGUCCUGCACCUGUGCAUAGCAGAUGCUCAGUAAACCCUGGCUACCUGAGUGAGUGAGUCUUGCCUUUCCAUCUAGCACAAGGGAGGAAAGUCUUUCCUCUACCCUCUGAGGUUCUAUGGCUGAGCCUGAGAAUUAAACUAGUGAAAGAUGAACAGGAGAAAAGCAUACACAUUUGACUGUCAAUUUUUAC